CACAGACACGCCCGAACGUGCUGUUUGUGACAUGCAAGCGGGAGCCUUUCGGUGUCUGACCAUCGCCAUUUUUCAUGCACAGGCGAAGGCAACAUCUGACACGGGACACACACCUGUUAGACAUCCUCUGUCAGCGAAAGCUGUGAGUGACCUCAAGCAUCGUGCAGCUCACACCCCCCUUACUUCCUGCCAUCCCGUCGGGGUCAGUGGCGAAUAAUAGAGGAGUUGAGGAGCAGCGGCAAGGGUGGAAAGUGUGAGCGGAAGGGACGGGUGGAGACUCUUCUUCCCGCCAGGUUGUUGUUGUUGUGUGAGUGAGUUUUUACAUUUUUAUGUUUUUUAAGAAGUGUGUGGCGCUCGGAGGAGGAGUGGGGGCGGGUCAGACGCUGGUUUUAAUCGUGUUAGACCGGUAAAUACAUUCAUGAGACUGGUUAAAAACACAAGACAAAAUAUCAGCAAGUUAGUAAAAUUCUUACUAAGAAUGUUUUAUUAAAAUAAAUGCCAAGAGGUUAAUAAGAAAAAAUAACAGCAUACACCAUGAAAACUAAAUGCAAGCAUGUAAAAAUACUUAUGACAAGGAAACUAAUAAAGUAGCUAUGAGUUAAACAAGCUGGGAUUUGGCAAAAAAAUAAAAAUAAAAACAGGGAAAAGGCAACACUCCCCACUAGAGACAGUCUAGGAUGAAGAAGAGGGGGAGGAAGAGAGGAGUUGCAGUGGGUUUCAUUUAAAAAAAAAAAAAA